rnacentral:lncRNA from 1 species
UUCUCCUACUACCAUGCUAUAGGCAGAAGCUGAAACGUGAAAAGCCUGUGAUUCGCUCAAUACAGCGCUGGACAGAGCAGUCAGAUGAGGCACUAUGUGACUGUUUUCAAACAGACUGGGGAAUUUUUCAGGAUGCCGCUGUUAACAUCUAUGAAUACACUGAAUUUGUAUUAGGCUAUAUAUGCAAGUGCAUUGAUGACGUUGUACAGCGAAUGAACGUCAGAACUUUUCCAAACCAGAAGCCAUGGGUGAAUGGAGAAGUGUCUUCAGCACUCAAAGCCCGUACAGCAGCCUAUCAUUCUGGAGACCCAUGUGAGUACAAAAUAGCCCGAUAUGAACUCAGAAAAACCAUCAAGCUGGCAAAGAGACAGUACAGAGAGAAAGUGGAGUCUUAUUACACAGGAUCCAACACCAGAGACAUGUGGAGUGGGUUGAAGACUAUCACUGAUUAUAAAGGAAAGAGCCAUCAAGCAGAGGUCUCUGUUUCUCUUGCAGAGCUGAACACCUUUUAUGCUCGAUUUGAGUCUCACACCAGGUCAGAGGUACUGCUGGAGCAAGACAGCUGCCCUCUCCAGGUAUCUGUGACUGAUGUGUGCAAGUCAUUCAGGAGAGUGAAUGUGCAUAAAGCUCCAGGACCUGACAACAUCCCUGGCCGUGUUCUCAAGGCCUGUGCUCCUGAACUGGCAGAGGUGUUCAGUGACAUCUUUAACCUCUCCCUGUCCCAGUCUGUCGUCCCCAAUAGCUUCAAGAGGGCCACCAUCAUCCCAGUCCCUAAGAAACCAUCAGUGAGCUGUCUCAAUGAUUACCGCCCUGUCGCACUCACCUCUGUUGUGAUGAAAUGCUUUGAGAGGUUAGUCAAAGACCACAUUACAUCCUGCCUGUCACCUGCAUUAGACCCACUCCAGUUUGCAUAUAGGCCGAACAGGUCUACAGAUGAUGCUGUAGCUUUGGCCUUGAACACUGCUCUCUCUCACCUGGAUCAGAACAACACGUACGUGCGGAUGCUCUUCAUCGACUUCAGCUCCGCCUUCAACACCAUAGUACCAUCC